rnacentral:rRNA from 1 species
AACGAACGCUGGCGGCAUGCCUAACACAUGCAAGUCGAACGAGACCUUCGGGUCUAGUGGCGCACGGGUGCGUAACGCGUGGGAACCUGCCCUUAGGUUCGGAAUAACUCCCCGAAAGGGGUGCUAAUACCGGAUAAUGUCUUCGGACCAAAGAUUUAUCGCCUUUGGAUGGGCCCGCGUUGGAUUAGCUAGUUGGUAGGGUAAAAGCCUACCAAGGCGACGAUCCAUAGCUGGUCUGAGAGGAUGAUCAGCCACACUGGGACUGAGACACGGCCCAGACUCCUACGGGAGGCAGCAGUGGGGAAUAUUGGACAAUGGGCGAAAGCCUGAUCCAGCAAUGCCGCGUGAGUGGUGAAGGCCUUAGGGUUGUAAAGCUCUUUUACCCGGGAUGAUAAUGACAGUACCGGGAGAAUAAGCCCCGGCUAACUCCGUG